rnacentral:rRNA from 1 species
AGCUCCAAUAGCGUAUAUUAAAGUUGUUGCAGUUAAAAAGCUCGUAGUUGGAUUUCGGGGCGGCCUGUCUGGUCCGUCGCGAGACGAGUACUGGUCAGCCGCCCUUCCUCUCGAAAGCCCCGACUGCUCUUAACUGCAGUGGUCGGGUAGUUCGGGACGUUUACUUUGAAAAAAUUAGAGUGUUCAAGGCAGGCUCUGGCCUGAAUACAUUAGCAUGGAAUAAUGGAAUAGGACUACGGUCCCUAUUUCGUUGGUUUGACGGACCGAAGUAAUGAUUAAGAGGGACAAUUGGGGGCAUCCGUAUUUCGUAGUCAGAGGUGAAAUUCUUGGACCUACGAAAGACGAACAACUGCGAAAGCAUUUGCCAAGAGUGUUUUCAUUAAUCAAGAACGAAAGUAGG